rnacentral:lncRNA from 1 species
CUUCCUCAGCUGUCUUCUCUCUCUCUGUCUUUCUCAAAAACAAAUCUCUCGCAGAUAGGUUUUGUUCGUUGACGGACUCUGUUGUUGCGGAGGCUGAAACGAAGCGUCUGGGUUUUAGUGUGAGGUGGGCUUUGGAGGCAGAGGAGAGAGAGGCGGGUAAAGAGAGAAAGUGGCGGCCAGGACUCCAUGUGAGAAGCCCGUGCUUCAUCUUCUUCGUCUAUUUUUUGUUGCUAACUAGGGAUGAGGAAAUAUCUCUCACUUCCUCCUCUUCCUUGUUCUGGAUUUUUUUUCCCCUGGAUAAUUACCAGAUUACCCAAUUCACCUCAAUUUUAGAUAGUGCUGACAAACGAUCCAGGAGAUCGGGAUGAUAUAUUUUAAUUUAAUUUGUUUAUUCAGCGGAAUCAUCUUUUAAUGAUACGAAUCGGGCUCAAGUUGUUCGAAUUUUAAAAAUAUUAUAAAUUUAUCAAAA